rnacentral:lncRNA from 1 species
CCGCCUCGCUCACACAAGAAUCCAAAAUCAUCACAGCAGAAGAGAGAGAGAGAGAGAGAGAGAGGGAAAGGAGAGAGAAAGAGAAAGAGAAAGAAGAGAGAGAGAGAGCCCAUGGCUUCCGCCGUCGCUUGCAAGGGUGCCGAGCCGGCCGGCCUCCUCAAGUCCGGUGCUCCCGUGGCCUUCUGCGCGCCCCACUGCCCCGCCGUCAACGCCGUCCGCCGCCCGUACAGCACCCAGGUCAAGGAGGUCAACCGCUACGACGACGACGACUAUAGCGACCGCGACCUCGUCAUCCCCAGCUCCUUCUCGCAGGGUAUGCUUCCAUUCCCCACCUGUGGCGCGCCGUUUCUUUGCGUUCGUUCUCAAGUCUCAACACCGUGAGUCAAAUCAGCCUUCUGAUGAGCUUUUGCCUGUUGUUGCCGACUAGCCCUAGCUCUCGCCUACCUCUCACAGCUCUCUUGUUCUGCUGCAGACCGAGGUAGAAGAAGAAGGGAAGAAGGAGACACAGGUGGACACAGGAGGUUUCCGGCGCUCAAACGCCAACACCCACGAGCACGAACUCGUUCCCAGAGCACCACGGCUCUCGUACUACAUCGCCUGGCCUUUAUAAUCAGGUAACGCAGCGGCCAAGCAUACAGACCCCCACGCACGCACCACACGGCCACCACUACCGGCCACUAACUCCAGGCCGGCUAACCAGCUAACUACCAGUGCAUGCAUGCGCUAACAACCACACCUAGCAGCCACCAAGUUCGGCCUGGCUAGCUAGCUCCGGCUCUCACACCUACCCAGCGACACACACGCAUGCCACAAGCACACACAACGCACGCACGCACAUGAACGCAUGGCUUAUUUUUAACAUUCUCCUCCUAAGCCAUGAUCUCGCCGUCGUCGAAGUUGUUGCAGCUCCUGUCAUUGUCGUCGUCAUAGUCGUGACCCAGCCCGCGGACCCGACCUGCCGCAACGACGCCGGUUGCACCGUGCUCCAUCAUGACUCCGGCAACAUACGCCGAGCUCCUUCUCCGCCGGCGACACACGCCUGGCGUCCCUCUGCGCCCCGCACGUCCCGCGCGCACCCAACGCGCCCGACGAGCCCGAUCGCACCAGUGCGUCCCGCACGUCCCGCGCGCAUCCGUCGCGCCCGACGAGCCCGACAGCACCAGACGCUCACCGCGUGCCGCCUCCGCGUCCGCCAUGGCAGCCGCCACACCGCGCCUACGUGUCACGCACCUUCCACGAUUGUCGCCCGAGCCAUCGCGACCUCUGCGCCACCACGCAGGUCCUUCGCGACCUCCUCGUCUCCGCGACCGCCAUGCCCUUCGCGCGCACUCCCCACGUCCCCGCGCUCCCGCCGCGCACAUACGCGAUCUGCGCAACCGGGUCCAGCGCCCCGACGUGGUCCGCACCCGCGAUCCCGACGUGCCCGCUACGUCUGGCGCGCGCCCAUACACGCGCCCGACGCGGUGAGCCCGUCGCCGCGGCUUGUUCUGCCACGCUCCGCACGCCACCAGCCCGCGCCAUGAUCGCGCUCCGAGGCGACCAACGCGGCCGAUCCGGCGUGUCCCGGAGCUUGGCCUUCCCUCCGCCGAGCCGCGCCGCGCCACCGCAGCCUCUGCGCCACCGCGCAGGUCCGCCGCGGCCGCCGCGCUCUCCGCACGCCCGGCAUCACCGUGCUCCGCCGCCGCACGGGACGAGCGCCAUCGCCCGCGAGCUCCUCCGAACCCGAUGCUCCGAUACCAAUUGUUGUUGCCGACUAGCCCUAGCUCUCGCCUACCUCUCACAGCUCUCUUGUUCUGCUGCAGACCGAGGUAGAAGAAGAAGGGAAGAAGGAGACACAGGUGGACACAGGAGGUUUCCGGCGCUCAAACGCCAACACCCACGAGCACGAACUCGUUCCCAGAGCACCACGGCUCUCGUACUACAUCGCCUGGCCUUUAUAAUCAGGUAACGCAGCGGCCAAGCAUACAGACCCCCACGCACGCACCACACGGCCACCACUACCGGCCACUAACUCCAGGCCGGCUAACCAGCUAACUACCAGUGCAUGCAUGCGCUAACAACCACACCUAGCAGCCACCAAGUUCGGCCUGGCUAGCUAGCUCCGGCUCUCACACCUACCCAGCGACACACACGCAUGCCACAAGCACACACAACGCACGCACGCACAUGAACGCAUGGCUUAUUUUUAACAUUGCCGUCCCUGAUGUUGAUUCUGCAGACGUGCUCGACCCGCUCGGCGCGCUGACCAGCAUGGCCCGUCUGCUGUCUCUGAUGGAGGACGUUGCAGCUCAGACCGGCCUCUCCACUGCUGGGGCGUCGCGGCUCGGACGCUGGGUGGCCAAGGAGGACGACGAUGCGGUGUACCUCAAGGUGCCGAUGCCCGGGCUGACCAAGGAGCACGUGAAGGUGCGCGCGGACAAGAACAUC